rnacentral:rRNA from 1 species
GGAACAAUUAAUAUUUUUAGAAUAAUAAAAAAAUUUUUAAAGUAUUAAUAAAAAGGGGUUUUAGUAUAUUUAUAAGAAAAAAUUUUUUAAUUUAUAGUUUAUUAAGUAUUGUGAAAGAAUUUUGAAAUAAUUUAAAUAUUAAAUUUAUUUAAAAGUAAUUUUUAUUUAGUGUAUCUUGUGUAUCAGAGUUUAUUAAAAAUAUUUAUUAAAUAAUAUUUUCUCGAAUUUAAAAGAGAUAAAUAAUUAUAAAAGUUAUUGUUGCAAAAAUAUUUUAAAUAAUUAUUUGGAAAUGAAAUGUUAAUCGUUUUUAAAGAUAUCUAGUUUUUUUAGAAAAAAAUUUAAUUUUAAAUUAUUUUAAAAAUUUAUUAAUUAAUUAAUAAAUUUUUAAAAUAAUUUUAUAUUUUAAGGGAUAAGCUUUAAAUUAAAUUUAUAUAAUUAUUUAAAAUUUAAAAUUUAAAAAAUUUAUAAUUUAAAUUGUUAAUAAUUUUUAAUUUUUUAUAAAUAAUUUUAUGUUUAAAUAAAAUUUAAUAAUAAUUUAUAUUUUUAUAAAAAAAUAAUUUUUAAUUUUUAAAAUUUAGAUAUAAUGAUAAAAUUAGUAUAUAAUUAAAUUAAAUUAUAAUCAAUUAUGUUAAAUUAAUUAAAAGGAAUUCGGCAAAAUUAUAUAUUCACUUGUUUAUCAAAAACAUGUCUUUUUGAAAAUAAUAUAAAGUCUAAUCUGCCCACUGAUAAAUUAUUGAAGGGCUGCAGUAUUUUGACUGUACAAAGGUAGCAUAAUCAUUAGUCAUUUAAUUGAUGACUUGUAUGAAGGAUUGGAUGAAAUAUAUUCUGUCUCUUAAUUAAAUUAUAGAAUUUAAUUUUUUAAUUAAAAAGUUAAAAUAAAUUAAAAAGACGAGAAGACCCUAUAGAGUUUUAUAAUUAAGUUUAUUAAAAUUAUUUUUAAAUUUAAGUAUUAAAAUAAAUUAAAUUAUUUUGUUGGGGUGAUAAAAAAAUAAAAAAAACUUUUUUUAUAAAUUUGACAUAAAUAAGUGAUUAUUUGAUCCAAUUUUAUUGAUUAUAAGAAAAAAUUACCUUAGGGAUAACAGCGUAAUUUUUUUUUUUAGUUCAUAUAAAAAUAAAAGUUUGCGACCUCGAUGUUGGAUUAAGAUAAAAUUUAAAUGCAGAAGUUUAAAAUUUUUGAUCUGUUCGAUCAUUAAAAUCUUACAUGAUCUGAGUUCAAACCGGUGUAAGCCAGGUUGGUUUCUAUCUUUUAAAAAAUAAAAUAUUUUAGUACGAAAGGAUCAAAUAUUUAAAUUAAAUUUAUAAAAAUGAAUAUUCUUAAUU